GCACUCAGAGAAGCUGCAGGUGCUGCCAGAGCAUCAGCAGAGCCACGGCAGAGGGUACCUGGCAUUUCUGUCUCUGGCUGCUCUUUCUGCAUUUCCACCAGAAAGUUUUCACACUCUUUCUAGCUGUGCACAACACAGACACUGUGGUCUGCUCAGAGUCAGCAGCCCCUGAAUGUAACAGCAACACCACAAGAGCUUUGGGAAGAGGUGGAGACAGAAGGCAGGGUAAGAGCGUGGGGAUGCCACAAUGAGCUAUUGCCUUCUCUGCCCCAAUCUGUCCCCACACCCCUGGGCCGAUGUUUGGGUCCUCCUGACCAUACUUGCCCAUCAGAAGUUUUAUUUUAACUAUCAAAGAGUAGCUGAAUCCUUCUGACUCAACUCCUGCCUGCCAGAGUGCUUCAGCCUUCUGCCCUCCCUCUCUGCAGCCUGCAGCAGUUUGCUCUCAGGCGUUAUCUGGCUUCAGCAUCUGCCCAACAUGGGUACGGCUGCUGACACGCCAUCAGCAGCACUGCCAGUCCAGAGAUGCCGAAUAUCUACCUCCCAUGCCCAAGAGUCACUCCAUAUAAUGACUAGCAUUCAGAGCUAAAAGCUGGGAUCUAACAACAAUGCAGAGGCCAAUUCCCUCCCUGAGCAGCUAGAAAUCAUAAAACGAUAGGGAAGUCCCACACCCCCACUGCACUGCUUGCUGCUCCUUCCCUGGAACGGCUCCAGCUCCCAUUCUUGGAAACAGCUCUUGGCCACUGGAGAGAAGAAAAUUUUCUCUUUCCACCCGUCUGACUCACAGCUCCCGAAACACUUCCUUCAAAGUCCUAGUCUAGGAUCUGAAAGUUAGGGAGAAGUCCAUGCAGUGUGACCCUGGGCCUGGGUAGAGCAUCACUGGGAUCUCAAUUUUACAAGCUAUUCUUUCAGAUCUGGCAGCAAAAUGCACACCUUGGCAAGUUCCAGAGAAACAAAUCACAGCAAAGUCAAAGAGAAGCUUGACUGGCACUUACCCUCUUCCUGAAGUGAGGGAAGCCCAACGUCCCUCUUAACCCUAGGGAAAGCUCUUUGUACUAAGAUUACUGUGCCGCUCAGGAUGUACUGUCAGAUUCAUGCAGACUGAAAGACAUUGGUUAUAUUUUUUCUAUAAACUCUUCUUCCUCUAUCAUCUAUGAUUUCUCCAAAAAACAAUAUAGUGAUGCCCACCAUGGCUUCAGGCAGUAGCAGUAUUUGACCCAGUGAUGGGAAGAUCUCUCUCAGUAAAAUCCCACAUAUGAUGCAGCUUUAUCUCAGUGAUGUGCACAAAGAUUUCCCCUUCCUUGGUGACAAAAAAUAUUUGAGACCACCCUUCAACUCAUUAUGGUUUUAUGAACACAAAGAUACAUUGAAGUGAACUCAACUGAACACAUUAACAGCCACAACUUCUUCCCCCAGCAAAGUGGCAAAACAACAUGCUACAGCUGAAGUGCUUGUGAUGUCUGCUGGCAGCAUCAGCCUGGGCUGGGGACAUACUGCUGAGGACACUACAGUGGUGGUGGCUCUCAAGGUGCAUAAGAGCCACCACGAAAGACUGACAUCCUCAAUCUUUCCCUCAGACUAAACGACAGGACAGGCUUCUUCUCCAUGUAUAUUGAGAUGAGAAAAGCAUCUCAGGUAUGAUUCCUCCUAAAAUUCUUUCUUUCAACACAUCUGCACAUGGGCAAAUAUACUGAAGGAGUAAAUCCUACUUACGUAGAUGGAUCUCUGAUAUACAACAUGCACAGCCAUGCGAUUUACUUCAGUGCGUUCCUGACAAAGCUGGUAGUGACAGCUGUGCUUGUGUCAGCAUAGCUGCAUGUAUGACAGACUAAUGGAGAGUAAGUUUGUAACAAAAAAUCCAACUAAAUCCAUCACAACAGUGAGCUCUCUAACUGAUCUGCUACAAAACUAAACAGGUAUAUAAGGGAAAAUUUCCCAAAGUAUAAAUUUCAAAGAAAUCUUUUUAGAAUUCAAAGGCUAAGGAUCUUUUUUAAUAAAAAUUAUUAUUCCUAAUAUUUCAAACACUAAGAAUCCCAUCCUGAAUAACAAACAAUUCUGCUUUCAUUAUAUGAACAGAUUUGGCAGAGGCAACAUAAUGAAAUUCACAUGUGUUCAUCCACCAGACUCCAGACCUCCAUUUAGAAAGACAGGCUCUUCUCACACAGCAUAACCUGGCACUGUUUUUCUGCUUGGCUCCUGUCCAAAGGCCAAAACCUGAAGAUUAAUGGUCACUGUUACAACAUUUGCUUUCUGCUUAGGAAUAUACAAGCAGUGGGGUUUUUUAAGCUAUAACUUUGAAAUGGCAAAAAAGAAAAGAAAUUAUUUUUGAGAUUUUUUUCUAACAAAAUUAGUAUUUAUCUAAGAAAUACUUGCUGCCAUUUCAACGUGUCUAAUUAACCAAUAGCUUUAUUGCAAGGCAAACACUGUCAUUCUUACAGGAAAGAAAAAACCCCAAGUUUUAGAAGUAACACUUGCAUGUUGAGAGGAGCUGUGGAAGGACAGUCUCAGUAAAUUCCAGAAUAAUUUGAUUAGGGGUUGAUUAUAUCAUCCUGAGACUAAUAAAAUAAGAUUGAAGAUUCU